GCUUCCAUCGUCCAACGGCCAGGACGCCUGAUUGUCGAUCAGGGAAUGCAGGUUCGAUUCCUGCUGGAAGCGCCA
rnacentral:tRNA from 1 species